rnacentral:rRNA from 1 species
GUCGAACGGCAGCGGGGAGGAGCUUGCUUCUCUGCCGGCGAGUGGCGAACGGGUGAGUAAUACAUCGGAACGUGUCGAGAAGAGGGGGAUAACCACCCGAAAGGGUGGCUAAUACCGCAUAAAUUCUGAGGAAGAAAGCUGGGGACCUAGGAAUAGGCCUAGCGCUUUUUGAGCGGCCGAUGUCGGAUUAGCUAGUUGGUGAGGUAAAGGCUCACCAAGGCGAAGAUCUGUAGCGGGUCUGAGAGGAUGAUCCGCCACACUGGGACUGAGACACGGCCCAGACUCCUACGGGAGGCAGCAGUGGGGAAUUUUGGACAAUGGGGGCAACCCUGAUCCAGCCAUGCCGCGUGUAUGAAGAAGGCCUUAGGGUUGUAAAGUACUUUUGUUAGGGAAGAAAAGUCAGCUGUGAAUAAUGGCUGAUACUGACGGUACCUAAAGAAUAAGCACCGGCUAACUACGUGCCAGCAGCCGCGGUAAUACGUAGGGUGCGAGCGUUAAUCGGAAUUAUUGGGCGUAAAGCGAGUGUAGACGGUUAUUUAAGCCAGAUGUGAAAUACCCGAGCCUAACUUGGGAGGUGCAUAUGGAACUGGGUAGCUAGAGUGUGUCAGAGGGAGGUAGAACUCCACGUGUAGCAGUGAAAUGCGUAGAGAUGUGGAAGAACACCGAUGGCGAAGGCAGC